rnacentral:rRNA from 1 species
AACGAACGCUGGCGGCAUGCCUAACACAUGCAAGUCGAACGAGACCUUCGGGCCUAGUGGCGCACGGGUGCGUAACGCGUGGGAACCUGCCUUUAGGUUCGGAAUAACUCAGAGAAAUUUGAGCUAAUACCGGAUGAUGUCUUCGGACCAAAGAUUUAUCGCCUUUAGAUGGGCCCGCGUUGGAUUAGCUAGUUGGUGGGGUAAAGGCCUACCAAGGCGACGAUCCAUAGCUGGUCUGCGAGGAUGAUCAGCCACACUGGGACUGAGACACGGCCCAGACUCCUACGGGAGGCAGCAGUGGGGAAUAUUGGACAAUGGGCGAAAGCCUGAUCCAGCAAUGCCGCGUGAGUGAUGAAGGCCUUAGGGUUGUAAAGCUCUUUUACCCGAGAUGAUAAUGACAGUAUCGGGAGAAUAAGCUCCGGCUAACUCCGUG